AAGCGGGCCGAGCGUCCGCCCGCGGGGCACCUCCCGGCGCUGCCCCAGCGCAGCGGGCGCUCAGCGCACCACGGGGCGCUGCUCCGCGUCUCCUGCCUCAGCGCUGCGCCGGCCGCACCUGCCCUUUGGCACCUUCCCUCCCGGGCGGCUGCUUAAUCAAGACGUGCCCUGAAGACGGGCGUUCACACUCGGCGGCAACGCGCUGGAUCUGCCCACAGGUGCGCUUUUGCCGGGCACGUUUCUGAAGCCAGCUUGCACCGCCCUCGCACUUGUCCUGGGUGCGACGUGGGUCACAGGCUGCGGCCAGCCUGUCUCGGCGAGCGUCCCCGGGGAUACAGCAGGAAAGGAGUCAACACGUGGAAGAUCUACAUAACUCAGUGAACCAGGAUUUUCCAAAUGACCGAGGCGUGUUAUAACAGCACACACGGGUAAAACAUCAAUUCAAAGUACAAGACAGACCAGUGGAUUUCAAUGCUGUUCAUGAGGAAAUCGGAAUGGAAAAAAAUGAUUGAGGAAGUUGGCUCCUGAUCAGCUGCUUCACUGAAUUAAAGUGCAAUCAGGAGGAAAUGGCUAAUAUCUUAGAUCACUUCCACUGCUGGAUCCUGUUGGGCUUCAGAAGUCUUUAAGGAUGGAUUCUUUGAAAAAGAAGAAAAAGCAUAAGAUGUGUCAGGGCAAUGGAAUUCCUAAUUUCCCUCAGAAAUUUUGCCUUUUAAAUGGAGUUCUCCCACCAACGGUUCAGUGAGAGAUGGUUUCCUUAUUGUCAUUUAUUACCCAGGACAGGCAGCAACACUGCCUCGGAUACAACCGCCAUUCACCACACUUACCCAGCAGAGACUGCAAGGCCAAAGAAGGCUCAAACUGCCUUUCUUCUGGAAUUCUGUUCCCAAAGGCAACAGUUCAAAGCAGACCUCUGUUAACGGGAACGGUGAUAUCUACAGAGUUCUCUGGCCAGAAGAUUCCACUCCUCCUAUAGUGACUGACAGGGGAAACUAACACGUAAUUACUUACACUCCAGUCAGUCACCGGGAAGUCAAGUUCAGCAACACGGUCUAUGUGUGGAAGCCUUAUAUACCCACACUGGGGGGAUCACCACCACGUACACAAUCCCCCCGACUGUCAAAAGACGUGCUUCUUUCUUUGCAAGGGUCCUCCCUGUUAACCUCCCCCCGAUAAGGAAAAGAAAAAAAAUGUUUUUUCACUAAAACUCAAUGUAACAAAAUGGGACAAAAUAUAAGACAGUAUCAAAGUUAAAUAAAUUAGACGCACUAGUCAUCCCUUGGUAUCCUGGGGGACUGGUUCCAGGACCCCCGUGGAUACCCAAAUCCGCCGAUGCUCAAGUACCUUAAAUAAAAUGGCGCAGUAUUUGCAUAUAACCUACGGAUAUCCUCCUGUACAGUUUAAAUCAUCUCUAGAUUACUUAUAAUACCUAAUACAAUGUAAAUGCUAUGUAAAUAGUUGUACACAGUAUAAACACUAUGUACAGGCAGACCUUGGAGAUACUGCCGGCUCGGUUCCGGACCACCGCAAUAAAGCAAGUAUCGCAAUAGAUCAAGUCACACACAUUUUUUGGUUUCCAAGUGCAUAUAAAAGUUAUGUUUAUGGUAGUGUAUUAAGUAACAGCAGUAUGUCUAAAAAAUGCACACACCUUAAUCAAAAAAUACUUUAUUGCUAAAAAAUGCUAACCAUCAUCAGAACCUUCAGUGAGUCGUAUACAACAGUAACCUCCAAGAUCACUGAUCACCAUACUAAACGUUAAUAAAGAAAAAGUUUAAAAUUUACGAAUGUGACAUAAACAAUGACACACUCCUUGCUAAAAGGGCUCACAACUCAUUCACAGCAACACAAAAAUCUAACAUAUUUUCUAUCUGUAAAUAUCUUUACUGACUUCUUGCUUCUAUAUACCUUUUGCUUUUGUUUUAUGCAUUUUAGAGCAGAGGGCAGGGGGUUUGGAGGAGAUAAGAGAGAAAAAAUGUGAGGCGAGAAAAGGCGAUUUAGAGAAAGAAUACGGUGGGAAAGCAGCAGAUAAGCCAGCACUGGAGACUGGAGGUUUAUGGGAGGGAGGAGGCCUGGGA